rnacentral:rRNA from 1 species
AUUGAACGCUGGCGGCAGGCCUAACACAUGCAAGUCGAGCGGAUGAAGGGAGCUUGCUCCUGGAUUCAGCGGCGGACGGGUGAGUAAUGCCUAGGAAUCUGCCUGGUAGUGGGGGAUAACGUCCGGAAACGGGCGCUAAUACCGCAUACGUCCUGAGGGAGAAAGUGGGGGAUCUUCGGACCUCACGCUAUCAGAUGAGCCUAGGUCGGAUUAGCUAGUUGGUGGGGUAAAGGCCUACCAAGGCGACGAUCCGUAACUGGUCUGAGAGGAUGAUCAGUCACACUGGAACUGAGACACGGUCCAGACUCCUACGGGAGGCAGCAGUGGGGAAUAUUGGACAAUGGGCGAAAGCCUGAUCCAGCCAUGCCGCGUGUGUGAAGAAGGUCUUCGGAUUGUAAAGCACGUUAAGUUGGGAGGAAGGGCAGUAAGUUAAUACCUGGCUGUUUUGACGUUACCAACAGAAUAAGCACCGGCUAACUGCGUG